rnacentral:lncRNA from 1 species
AUGGGUAGGACAUGCUAAGGGUGGGGACAUGGGUAGGACAUGGGUAGGACAUGCUAAGGGGGACUAGAACAUAUAUAAGACAUGCUAAGGGUGGUGACAUGGGUAGGACAUGCUAAAGGGGACCAUAACAUACAUAGGACAUGCUAAGGGUAGUCAUGUGGGUAGGACAUGCUAAGGGGGACCAGAACAUGUGUAGGACAUGCUAAGGGGGACUAUGACAUGGGUAGGACAUGCUAAGGGGGACCAUAACAUACAUA